GACGAACGCUGGCGGCGUGCUUAACACAUGCAAGUCGAACGAUGAAGCCGGAGCUUGCUCUGGUGAAUUAGUGGCGAACGGGUGAGUAACACGUGAGUAACCUGCCCUUGACUCUGGGAUAACUGCGGGAAACUGUAGCUAAUACCGGAUACGACCCUCGGAGGCAUCUCCUGGGGGUGGAAAGAAUUUCGGUCAAGGAUGGACUCGCGGCCUGUCAGCUAGUUGGUGAGGUAAAGGAUCACCAAGGCGACGACGGGUAGCCGGCCUGUGAGGGUGACCGGCCACACUGGGACUGAGACACGGCCCAGACUCCUACGGGAGGCAGCAGUGGGGAAUAUUGCACAAUGGGCGCAAGCCUGAUGCAGCAACGCCGCGUGAGGGAUGACGGCCUUCGGGUUGUAAACCUCUUUUAGCAGGGAAGAAGCGAAAGUGACGGUACCUGCAGAAAAAGCACCGGCUAACUACGUGCCAGCAGCCGCAGUAA
rnacentral:rRNA from 1 species